rnacentral:rRNA from 1 species
UACGAAGGGUGCAAGCGUUACUCGGAAUUACUGGGCGUAAAGCGUGCGUAGGUGGUUCGUUAAGUCUGAUGUGAAAGCCCUGGGCUCAACCUGGGAAUUGCAUUGGAUACUGGCGGGCUAGAGUGCGGUAGAGGAUGGCGGAAUUCCCGGUGUAGCAGUGAAAUGCGUAGAGAUCGGGAAGAAUACCUGUGGCGAAGGCGGCCAGCUGGGCCAGAUCCGACACUGAGGCGCGAAAGCGUGGGGAGCAAACAGG